rnacentral:rRNA from 1 species
UACGGGAGGCAGCAGUGGGGAAUCUUAGACAAUGGGGGCAACCCUGAUCUAGCCAUGCCGCGUGAGUGAUGAAGGCCUUAGGGUUGUAAAGCUCUUUCAGCUGGGAAGAUAAUGACGGUACCAGCAGAAGAAGCCCCGGCUAACUCCGUGCCAGCAGCCGCGGUAAU